rnacentral:rRNA from 1 species
CUAGCAGUGAGGAAGGCGGAGCGUUAUAGCGGCNCGUUUGACGUUAGCUGCAGAAGAAGCACCGGCUAACUCCGUGUCAGCAGCCGCGGUAAUACGGAGGGUGCGAGCGUUAAUCGGAAUUACUGGGCGUAAAGCGCAUGCAGGUGGUUUGUUAAGUCAGAUGUGAAAGACCCGGGGCGUCAACCUCGGAAUAGCAUUUGAAACUGGCAGACUAGAGUACUGUAGAGGGGGGUAGGAAGUUUCAGGUGUAGCGGUGAAAUGCGUAGAGAUCUGAAGGAAUACCGGUGGCGAAGGCGGCCCCCUCGGACAGAUACUGACACUCAGAUGCGAAAGCGUGGGGAGCAAACAGGAUUAGAUACCCUGGUAG